GGGAUAGGAUUUGAUUAGGUUAGGUAAGGUUAGGUUAGGUAAGGUUGGGAUAGGAUUUGAUUAGGUUAGGUAAGGUUAGGUUAGGUAAGGUUGGGAUAGGAUUUGAUUUGGUUAGGUAAGGUUAGGUUAAGUUAGGUAAGGUUGGGAUAGGAUUUGAUUAGGUUAGGUAAGGUAAGGUUAGGGUUUAGGUAAGGUUAGGUAAGGUUAGGAUACGAUUUGGAUAGGUUAGGUAAGGUAAGGCUGGGAUACGAUUUGGAUAGGUUAGGUAAGGCUGGGAUACGAUUUGGAUAGGUUAGGUAAGGUUAGGUAAGGUUAGGUAGGAAGGAAGGGAGAGAGGGAGGGAGAGGCAAGGUCAGGUCAGGCAGGGCUUAGGUAAGGUUAUGUGUGUUUGAAGAUGCCCUAAACUUAACCUAACUUUCCAUACAACAAAGUGAGGUCAUUCUCCAUUGAUUUACGCCACAAGCCGCC